rnacentral:rRNA from 1 species
AACGCGAAGAACCUUACCUGACCUUGACAUGCAGAGAACUUUCCAGAGAUGGAUUGGUGCCUUCGGGAACUCUGACACAGGUGCUGCAUGGCUGUCGUCAGCUCGUGUCGUGAGAUGUUGGGUUAAGUCCCGCAACGAGCGCAACCCUUAUCCUUAGUAGCCAGCAGGUAGAUUUGGGCACUCUAGGGAGAGUGCCGGGGAUAACCCGGAUGAAGGUCGGGAUGACGUCAAAUCAUCCUGCCCGUUAUGGCCAGGGCUACACACGUGCUACAAUGGAGUAAACAAAGGGAAGCGACCUCGUGAGAGUAAGCAAAUCCCAAAAAUAACGUAUCAGUUCGGAACAUACUUUGCAAAUCGACUCCAUGAAGCUGGAGACGUUAGUUAUCGCGAAUCAGAAUGUCGCGGUGAAAACGUUCCCGGGUCUUGUACACACCG